rnacentral:snRNA from 1 species
CAGCCUCUGGUCGAUGGAAC